CAGCGAGAGAGCGAGAGAGAGCAGCGCAGCAAGCCAGCUGCGGCCUCCACUCUUAUCCGUCUCUAUACAUUCAUCGACUCUUCCUUUUCCUCUCGUUGACGCGGCGCAAUGCAGCCCAUCUCAUCUGCUGUGCCAGUGGACACGUACACAGCGCCACUUGUGAACGCCUCCUACAGGCGCGCGAACGGCGAGGCGCCCCUCUCCAGUAGCCGUGCGAGCGACAGUCAGCUCCCCUACGUGCCAGCGCUGGUGCGCCCUCAGCUGCAGUUCUUCUCUGAAAAUGAUAUACGUGCGCUAGAGCUGCGGAUGGAGUAUCAGGCGCAGGAUGCCGCGCGCAGCCAGCGCAUCGACGCGCGUGCCAGCCGCGUCUCCGCUGAGGCCCAUGCUGCAGCGGAGCAGCGCAGCGCGAUGCUGCGCCAACGGGCUGCCCGACAUGCCAAGGCAGCCGGCGAGGUACGCGUGAAGAAGAUUCAGGAGGAUUACCGCUCCAUGGGCAUGUGAUGCCUCAUAUAGAUAAUCACUGCAUGUGGGCGGCGGCAUCGCGGCGAUCGCUAUACACGCUGCCUCGUACCUCUCUCCACAUAGCAGCGCUCAGUCAGACAGGCAAACACAUGUGUAGAGGCUUUUGAGGUCUUGAUAGACGACAGGUGCAUCGCUCGGUGCGAUGAACGAGAGGGACCACAAAAGCACACGACAAAAACCUGAAGCGAGAGCGAGCGCGGAAGAGUAGCGACGCGCAUUGUGCUGGCACUUCAGCGUGAGCUGCCUGAGAGCAUUUCAGCUGCUGCGGCAUCCGGAGCGGCUGUCUGCCCUUUUUCGAGGGUGGAGGGAAGCUCUUAGGGACAGCGGUGAAGGAGUCGACACUAAGUCGUCGUGCAAUGACAGAGCCACGUGCAUCGGUGCGUGCCCAUCCAUCAUCAUCUUCUUUGCAUCUCGCACGUUCUUCCUCUUCUCUCUUCGGGAGCGCACACGUACGCAAG
rnacentral:misc_RNA from 1 species